GCCACUCACGCCGCUCUUCCUCUUGGAGAAUCACCACCGUGAAAUCAUUUCUCUCAGCCACUCACACUGUCACUGUGAAUCACCGUCAAAGCAACAACCAUCAAUUCGAAUAUUAACAGUUCAAAUCUCACUCUCUCCGCGUUUACGCAAUGCACAGAUAGCAUCCAGAGCAAGUGGAGUACUUUGAUUCAGCUCGCGCCGCCGUCAAAGCAACCACCACAACAAUUCUUAGCAGGU